GUGCCAUAGCUUUCACAACCUGCAUUCUGAGGGUCUGCACACACAGCCAACAACCCUGCAGCUACUGAAUUGGCUCUCUCUCCUUCACUUGACAAAACACGGCACAGCCUAGACAGAAUGGUUCUCAGUGGUCUUGUGCAGAUGGUGCCAAGCUGACUUCUCUUGGAUUUCUUCUUCGGGCCGCUUUCCCACAGAACUACAAUGGCUUCAUGAAUUCUGACAGCACGGCAUAACUGAUGUCUCUCCAAUGAAAACUUAUGAAAGGAAAGAACACCUGGAUAGUAAAGGCAUUUGCAGUAAAACAUCUGACAGCCAGAGAUAAAUUGAGAUUGUAACUGUGU